rnacentral:ncRNA from 1 species
GGAGACUGAAGUAGAGAACGUGCUUCUACACGCCGCGUGAGUGGUAGACAAGAAAUGCGGGAAAGGGCACACCCGCCGGUUUCC